UGUCAAUGGUGUCUGAACUUUCGACUUCCAAUGUGAUUGUCUUCCCCGUUAAUGUCUUCACGAAAAUCUGCAUUCCACCACGCAAUCGAAGCACCAAAUGCAACGUCGAUUCCUUUUGAAUGUUAUAAUCUGCUAGAGUCCUGCCGUCUUCAAGCUGCUUACCAGCAAAAAUCAACCUCUGUUGGUCAGGUGGAAUGCCCUCCUUAUCUUGGAUCUUAGCUUUCACAUUAUCAAUUGUAUCUGAGCUCUCCACUUCCAAGGUGAUUGUUUUGCCAGUCAAGGUUUUCACAAAAAUCUGCAUACCCCCA
rnacentral:misc_RNA from 1 species